AACGAACGCUGGCGGCAUGCCUAACACAUGCAAGUCGAACGAGACCUUCGGGUCUAGUGGCGCACGGGUGCGUAACGCGUGGGAACCUGCCCUUAGGUUCGGAAUAACUCCCCGAAAGGGGUGCUAAUACCGGAUAAUGUCUUCGGACCAAAGAUUUAUCGCCUUUGGAUGGGCCUGCGUUGGAUUAGCUAGUUGGUAGGGUAAAAGCCUACCAAGGCGACGACCCAUAGCUGGUCUGAGAGGAUGAUCAGCCACACUGGGACUGAGACACGGCCCAGACUCCUACGGGAGGCAGCAGUGGGGAAUAUUGGACAAUGGGCGAAAGCCUGAUCCAGCAAUGCCGCGUGAGUGAUGAAGGCCUUAGGGUUGUAAAGCUCUUUUACCCGGGAUGAUAAUGACAGUACCGGGAGAAUAAGCUCCGGCUAACUCCGUG
rnacentral:rRNA from 1 species